rnacentral:rRNA from 1 species
AUGGUGACAGGAGGUGGCCUUGAUAAUCCUUUCGCCGAAGUAUGGGCGGCAAUCUUGGCCUCCCCUGCUAAAAAAGCCCCAUGACCGGAUGGUUUCAAUGGGAUUUUCUUUCGCAAAUGCUGGGAUAUAAUUAAAGAUGACAUCAUGGCCGUUUUCCACCAAUUCCACGGCCUCUCCGGAACAAACCUUUCGGCGAUCAACACAGCCCUUGUUGCACUGCUGCCCAAAAAAGAUGGCGCCGAGGCAAUGGGUGAUUUCAGACCCAUCAGCCUGAUCAAUUCAAUUGUAAAACUGAUUGCAAAGGUCCUUUCGAUGCGUCUGUCAGAACAGAUUGGGACGCUGAUCUUGCCAGCGCAGAGUGCAUUCCUGAAGACGAGAUGCCUGCAAGACAACUUCCUAUACGUCCAAAAUUGUGUCUGA